CAGUAGCCGCGGUAAUACGGAGGGUGCAAGCGUUAUCCGGAUUUAUUGGGUUUAAAGGGUCCGUAGGCGGACUUAUAAGUCAGUGGUGAAAGCCUGUCGCUUAACGAUAGAACUGCCAUUGAUACUGUAAGUCUUGAGUAUAUUUGAGGUAGCUGGAAUAAGUAGUGUAGCGGUGAAAUGCAUAGAUAUUACUUAGAACACCAAUUGCGAAGGCAGGUUACCAAGAUAUAACUGACGCUGAGGGACGAAAGCGUGGGUAGCGAACAGGAUUAGAGACCCGAGUAGUCCCUGUCUCUUAUAC
rnacentral:rRNA from 1 species